AAACUAAUUUAGCAGAGAGUUGAGAAAAGAAUCCAUUCCUACAGGAACUCCCGUAGAAGCCUGUGUUUUAGCACUGCAUAAAUAUCCUUGAUAACCUAGACCAGCAACUACGAGAUGCUGAACAUUUCCUCCUCUACAAAGAGAAGAAAAGGAAAAAAUGGGGAACAAAUGUGUCGAUAGACAUCAGUUGGACUAGCACAUGCGGCAAGUGCUAAAAUUGCUCGAAGGAAAGAAAAGGAUCUUACUGUUUGUCUAAUCCAUGGAAACUGGAAGAAAAAAAACCCAAAAAACUAAAAUCACAGGAAGAGGAAAAAAGUGUGUCAACUACACUGAUGUUAAAAUUGUCAGUAUUUUACCUGGAGCUACAACACAGCUGAGAGGAGAUGUGAUGGGGAGAAAGAGGCUCAGUUUUUUGCUGGAGUGCUCUGUAGCCUCACUGUAAUAUCUCCACACCCCAGAUUUGGCUCUAUGACACCUGUGCAACCCAGCAAGAAGGGAUCUGACUCCAGGCUUGGCAUAAGGAGUGCUGCCCAGGUGGAGCUGUGGCACAGGGAACACCAGCAACCAAAGAGAUCAUCGUGUGAUGGAAUUUUCUCAAUGCAAUCACAGAACUGUAGGGGCUGGAACCUCUGGAGAUCACUGAGUCCAACCCUCUGCUAAAAGCAUGUUUCCUACAGUAUUUUGAACAGGAAAGUGUCCUGAUGUGUUUCGUCCUCUGCAGAGAAGGAGAUUCUACCACCUCUCUGGUUCCUGUGCAAGUGAAGAAGAUCUUUUUCAUAGACCCUUUGGUGUUCCACUUUCUGCCCAUUGUCCCUUGUUCUAUAGCUAUAAACCGCUGAAAAGAGUCUGCCUCCAUUGGCUUGACUUUUGCACUUGAGAUAUUUAUAAAUAUUGAUGAGAUCCCCUCUCAGCCUUCUUUUCUCCAGGCUGAGCAGCCCCCAGUCUUUUCUCAUACAGGAGACGCUCCAGGCCCUAACUGUUUUGUUGCCCUACAUGGGACUCUAUCUACAUGAUCCCUGUCUUCUUCCAACUGAG
rnacentral:lncRNA from 1 species